AUUGAACGCUGGCGGCAGGCCUAACACAUGCAAGUCGAACGAGUGGCGGACGGGUGAGUAAUGUCUGGGAAACUGCCUGAUGGAGGGGGAUAACUACUGGAAACGGUAGCUAAUACCGCAUACCAUCGGAUGUGCCCAGAUGGUCUUAGCUAGUAGGUGGGGUAAAGGCUCACCUAGGCGACGAUCCCUAGCUGGUCUGAGAGGAUGACCAGCAACACUGGAAAGGAGACACGGUCCAGAGGGCUAAGGGAGGCAGAAGUGGGGAAUAUUGCACAAUGGGAGCAAGCCUGAUGCAGCCAUGCCGCGUGGAUGAAGAAGGCAUUCGGGUUGUAAAGUACUUUCAGCGGGGAGGCGUUACCCGCAGAAGAAGCACCGGCUAACUCCGUGCCAGCAGCCGCGGUAAUAC
rnacentral:rRNA from 1 species